UUUUUUUUUUUUUUUUUCUUACUUUUUUUCUUUUUUGGUUUUUUGAGGCAAGGUUUUCCUGUAUAACAGCCCUGGCUGUCUUGGAACUUCCUUUGUAGACCAUGCUGGCCUCAAAGUCAUAGAGAUCUGCCUGCUUCUGCCUCUCAAGUGCUGGGAUUAAAGGCGUGCGCCACCACAGCACAGAAUCUUCUAACUCCUGCUUUUUUCUGUCUCCUCAAGCCAGUGUCACUGGCAGAUACCCUCACCAUGACUUUCUACAGCUUCCACUAGUUGUCAGUUACUUCCUCUUUCAGGGGCCUGGGUAGAACCUGUGAACCCAGCAUCCAUGGGGCCUUCCCUAGCUGGGCCAUGUCUGUGUCUUACCUUUUCAUGUACUCAUCUUCUUCUUUGGUGCCUAAGUUGUGUCUGCGUGUUGGCUGGGUCUGUUGAGCUAUUGGCAGGGAAUGCAAAGAUCACUAUGUAGAAACUCAGUGACUGUCAGACCAGAGUGAGCAGAAGGCUAAUAAUAGUAGCAGGGGCUUGAGGCCUUCUGUGACCCAUCAACCACUACUGCAAGACCAUGGAGGGCUUUAGAACAAGAUUCUUGCUGCCUUUAUUGGCAGCUCUAGAUUUGAGCACAGAUGGGUAAUACCCAUCUAGCUGCUGGUGAUGUCUGAAUCGGUGUUUGAUGUAUCAGAACAGACCCUGUGUCUAAGUCUGAAAACCAGUAUCACUUAACUGACCGUGAACAACCUGGAGAUGUAGGUUAUAAACCUUGAAGAAAAGCCGAUGUGCCUGCAGAAUCACAAAGCAUCUGCACAGACUGGCAGGGACGUGACGUGUAUUUCGCCUUGGGCAUUGACCUAUACGUGAUCUUAAAAAAGACAAGACAGUAUGAGAUUGUGGCAGAGAAGAACUGGUGAGUAGCUGACACUGAAUCAAACUGAGGAGCUGGACUCUCAGGUGGUCACCACAUGGAGUAACUUAACUCUACACAAGCAAGUCUUAGGUUAUGGACCUACAACAUAUCCUUUACAGUCCUGAAAUACAGCUUCCAUUGUAGCUUGACAUGCAAGCAUUCCUGGAAGGCAUGCUAACAGAGGAGUCCACUUUAGAGACCAGUUAUAGAGCCCAGUUGGCACAAACCUAGGCAAUGAUCAGCUGCAUCUAAGCCUAUCUGGGUACCAUGUAUGCUGGAGUGCCAGCAACUCGUGGACAUCAGCUAGUGGCUGGGGGAGGAUAGCCAACUAUGCAGCCUGGUUACUGUCCAAACACUCAUCCCCAGGUUCUCUGAGCUAUUAGAUAUCUAGACUUUUUUUCUUACAGAGAGCUUCAUCUGGUAAAUGAAGGGAGGGAUCCUGGCCUUGGCUCAUUCCCUUUCCUGCCAAUAAAGUUGGUGGUUCAAGGAGGGGGAAAUGCUGUGUCUUCUGAUCCACCAACAUAUAUACAGUGGCAAUUUUGGAAUUUUUGAUUCUUUAGAAAACAGGAAUAUUGUAAGAAUAUAGUAUGGAGAUGUGGAGCUGCUUCAGACUGUCCACAGCAGCUGACCAUGAUUUGCUUCAUGCUCUGGCAGGAGUCUGAUUUUGCCAGUGGCAAAUAGUUUCUACAAUUGUGUGACAUUUGGUUUGAAUUCUGGGGAAUUUUCAAAGGGUAUAUGAGUGGUAGGGUCCUAAGAGGCAGGGUGGGUUGUUGGUUGUUGGUUGGUUGUUGUUGUUCGUAGUUUGUUAAGUGGUUGUGUCC
rnacentral:lncRNA from 1 species